GAAGGUGGCAAGCGUUGUUCGGAAUCACUGGGCUUAAAGCGCGCGUAGGCGGAAAUACAAGUGUCAUGUGAAAUCCCUCGGGCUUAACCGAGGAAUUGCUUGGCAAACUGUAUUUCUUGAGGCAAGUAGGGGUACAUGGAACUCUUGGUGGAGCGGUGGAAUGCGUAGAUAUCAAGAGGAACGCCAAUGGUGAAGACAGUGUACUGGGCUUGUCCUGACGCUGAGGUGCGAAAGCGUGGGGAGCGAACGGGAUUAGAUACCCCGGUAGUCCACGCCGUAAACGAUGUCUACUAGGUCGUGGGAGUUCUGACACUAUCACGGCCGGAGCAAAAGUGUUAAGUAGACCGCCUGGGGAGUACGGCCGCAAAGGCUAA
rnacentral:rRNA from 1 species